UUCCUUCCAAUCAAUGAGGUUGUUACAUCUCGUUGACCGGAAGGAAUCCCUUCCGGUCGAUGAGAUUGUUAUACCUCAUUGAUCAGAAGGGAUUCCUUCCGUUGAUGAGGAUGUUAUACCUCAUCAACCGGAAGGAAUCCCUUCCGGCCAAUGAGGUUGUUAUACCUCAUUGAUUGGAAGGAU
rnacentral:miRNA from 1 species